CAGCAUUGCGUGGAGAGCAUCAGUAAGCACAGGGAUGCGCACUGCGAUGGGCACAGGACUGCCCCUCCAGGCCAUUGAUGCACCGUGGGGAAGCGAGAGGAGAAUCAGGAAGCGGAGACAUAAGCAAGUCUUCCAGGUGCUCGCAGCCUCUCAAUACCUGGGAUGUCGCAUCCUGCAGAGCCAUGCCUUGGCACAGUGUGGGUGCGAGGGACCCCCCGCAGCCCCUUACCCCUGGGACUGGCCUGGUGCUCCCCUCAUCCACGGGUGAACCA
ensembl:lncRNA